CCUUCGGGCCUCUUGCCAUCAGAUGUGCCCAGAUGGGAUUAGCUUGUUGGUGAGGUAACGGCUCACCAAGGCGACGAUCCCUAGCUGGUCUGAGAGGAUGACCAGCCACACUGGAACUGAGACACGGUCCAGACUCCUACGGGAGGCAGCAGUGGGGAAUAUUGCACAAUGGGCGCAAGCCUGAUGCAGCCAUGCCGCGUGUAUGAAGAAGGCCUUCGGGUUGUAAAGUACUUUCAGCGGGGAGG
rnacentral:rRNA from 1 species